rnacentral:rRNA from 1 species
UUGAACGCUGGCGGAAUGCUUUACACAUGCAAGUCGAACGAGGUCCAUUCAGUAGCAAUACUGAUGAAGGCCGAGUGGCGAACGGGUGAGUAACACGUGAGAAGCCUAUCCUGGUCUCUGGGAUAACAGUCGGAAACAACUGCUAAUACCGGAUGCCGUCGGAGCGCUGCAUGGCGCACUGACGAAAGGGUUACUGGAUCAGGAGGGUCUCGCGGCCUAUCAGCUUGUUGGUGGGGUAACGGCCUACCAAGGCAUCGACGGGUAGUUGGUCUGAGAGGAUGAUCAGCCACACUGGGACUGAGACACGGCCCAGACUCCUACGGGAGGCAGCAGUGGGGAAUCUUGCGCAAUGGGCGAAAGCCUGACGCAGCAACGCCGCGUGCGGGAAGAAGGCCCUCGGGUUGUAAACCGCUUUCAGAAGGAACGAAACUGACGGUACUUUCAGAAGAAGGUGCGGCCAACUACGU